rnacentral:siRNA from 1 species
AUCGUAAACAGUUGUGUCUGU